UCCCUGGUGGCCCAGGGGAUAAAGCGUCUGCCUGCAAUGCAGGAGACCCGGGUUCGAUCCCUGGGUUGGGAA
rnacentral:tRNA from 1 species